AUUGAACGCUGGCGGCAGGCCUAACUCAUGCAAGUCGAGCGGAUGAAGGGAGCUUGCUCCUGGAUUCAGCGGCGGACGGGUGAGUAAUGCCUAGGAAUCUGCCUGGUAGUGGGGGAUAACGUCCGGAAACGGGCGCUAAUACCGCAUACGUCCUGAGGGAGAAAGUGGGGGAUCUUCGGACCUCACGCUAUCAGAUGUGCCUAGGUCGGAUUAGCUAGUUGGUGGGGUAAAGGCCUACCAAGGCGACGAUCCGUAACUGGUCUGAGAGGAUGAUCAGUCACACUGGAACUGAGAAACGGUCCAGACUACUACGGGAGGCAGCAGUGGGGAAUAUUGGACAAUGGGCGAAAGAAGGAUCCAGAAAUGCCGCGUGUGUGAAGAAGGUCUUCGGAUUGUAAAGCACUUUAAGUUGGGAGGAAGGGAAGUAAGUUAAUACCUUGCUGUUUUGACGUUACCAACAGAAUAAGCACCGGCUAACUACGUG
rnacentral:rRNA from 1 species